UACAGAGGGUGCAAGCGUUGUUCGGAAUUAUUGGGCGUAAAGGGUGCGUAGGCGGUGCGGUAAGUCUGUAGUGAAAUCUCUGGGCUCAACUCAGAGUCUGCUAUAGAAACUGCCGUGCUUGAGUGUGGGAGAGGUGAGUGGAAUUCCCGGUGUAGCGGUGAAAUACGUAGAUAUCGGGAGGAACACCUGUGGCGAAAGCGGCUCACUGGACCACAACUGACGCUGAUGCACGAAAGCUAGGGGAGCAAACAGG
rnacentral:rRNA from 1 species